GGAACCAAAGUGCUCUUCCUCCAUUCAUUUGGCAUCUUUUCAUAUUUUGUUAUUGCUAUUGAAUUGUUUUGUUAGCCAAGCUACUCCAACCUACCUUAGGCACUUCCAUACUUUUAUAGGUAUACAAUCUAGGUUGCAAGCUCUCCCUAUAUUUAUAUUCUUCCUGGCCUCUUUAAUUUCAAUAAACUUAAUUCUAUGAGUGUAUUAGGGUCCUUAUGUAUUAAAGGAAUUGUAAGGUUUGUAAUUUCAUACUCAUGGCUCGCAAUGAACAGUUAAUCAAACUAGCAUCUUCAUCUCUUUUUGAUCUCACUAUUUCUUAACAAAACUUGUUAAUUAUCAUCUUUAAUACAUUUGACCUAAAUUAGAUCUUUGCCUCUCUUUUCCUUUAGUCAUGCUAGCUUCUACACCCUCUUAUGUCCCUAACUUUUAAUACAAAUUGGCUAGAGAUUUACAUAAGCCUUACACUAUUCUUUCUAAAUUAUAUUUCCUAAACUGUCAGUAACAUUUUAUUUCAUUCUUUUUUAUCUUAAUAGCCUAUUUAACCUCCUCACUCUACCUCUAAGACUUUUGUAGGAGUAGUCCUUUACCUUUAAAUACACUUUAAUAUAACCAUUGUUACUUUCUUAAUGCAUCUACUUCCUUAGGUUCCACCAUCGAGUUAUAGGUUGCAUAAAUCUUUUUUCCUUCUUCACUCUGCUUUUUAUCUUCACAUCUAAAACCUCAAGCUUAUUUUGAGUAGUUAGAGUCUCACCAAAGAUAAUUUUGCUAUUUUUACAUAGAGUUUUAUCCCUUCUUUUAUUAAAGAAGAAGUCUAUUUUGCUAUGGCUUUCUCCACACUAAAAGGUAAUCAAGUAUAAUUCCCUUUUUUCUUUUUUUGAAAAUGGUGUUUGCCAAAACCAUAUCAUAAGAGAAAGUAAAUUGAAAAAUGGUCUUCACUUCAUCAUUCCUACUCCCAUAUUCGAACCCUCCAUGUUGCUAUUGCCCACAUGUCCAUUCAAAUAUCCCCCUCAAAAAAAUUUUGUAAUCGUUGGGAAUCCUUUAGAUCAAUGCAUCUACAUCUUCCUAGAACUUGCUUUUAGCUUUAUCAUCUAAACUUAUUUGAGGUGCAUAUGCAUUGAUAGUGAUAAUAGUCUCCUUUUCAAAUGUUAAUUUCAAGGAGAUGAUCUUAUCACCAAUUCUCUUCACUUCCAUAAUCGUCAAUCUCUCUCGCUUUUUCCCUUGUCUUUCUCAAAAACAAGCUAUGUCAACCCUCUUCCUCUUCAUAGUAUUCACAAUCACUAUUGAUUUUUUAGUCAAUGAUCCUAUAUUUCAACUACUAAAAUGAACCUUACUCUUUUGGACUAGCUUUUUUGCACGUACUGAUCCACCAAGAUGCAAAAACCUUAUCUAUUUUACACUACAUUUGAAUCCCGAUCAGAUGGAUAGCCAUUACUAAGAAAAGAUGUCAUAAGGAGGUAACACUCCAAUAUAAGAACAUUAUGCUCACACAACUCUAUCAUUAUAAGGAUGGAUAGCCAUUACUCAAAUAGGAUAUCAUUACUUGAAUAUCGUUACUUGACUUCAAUAUAUAUAUAUAUUGUCGGGCAAGGGGGUUUGGCAGGUUAAUUUCUAAUCAUUAGUUAUUGUGGGUUAAUUGUAAACUAUUUAUGAUAUCGAUAAAACUGUUAUGCACAUUAAAAUAAAUAAUUGAAUAAGACAUAUAUAUGUAUCCAAUAGAUUAAAGGAUUUUUGAGAUAAAUAUUUGUGAACAACCAUAUUUUCCUUAACUUCAG
rnacentral:misc_RNA from 1 species